rnacentral:snoRNA from 1 species
UUGUUUUAUCUUUUAUUUUUUAUGAUGACUCCGAGUGCAUUUGGCUCGAGACGUAAUGUCGAUGUGGAAAAACCCAAGCUACCUUUAUUUUUUUGUCUGAUA